rnacentral:rRNA from 1 species
AGGGUCAUUGGAAACUGGAAAAACUUGAGUGCAGAAGAGGAAAGUGGAAUUCCAUGUGUAGCGCGUGAAAUGCGCAGAGAUAUGGAGGAACACCAGUGGCGAAGGCGGCUUUCUGGUCUGUAACUGACGCUGAUGUGCGAAAGCGUGGGGAUCAAACAGGAUUAGAUACCCUGGUAGUCCACGCCGUAAACGAUGAGUGCUAAGUGUUAGGGGGUUUCCGCCCCUUAGUGCUGCAGCUAACGCAUUAAGCACUCCGCCUGGGGAGUACGGUCGCAAGACUGAAACUCAAAGGAAUUGACGGGGACCCGCACAAGCGGUGGAGCAUGUGGUUUAAUUUGAAGCAACGCGAAGAACCUUACCAAAUCUUGACAUCUUUUGACCACUCUAGAGAUAGAGUUUUCCUCUUCGGAGGACAAAAUGACAGGUGGUGCAUGGUUGUCGUCAGCUCGUGUCGUGAGAUGUUGGGUUAAGUCCCGCAACGAGCGCAACCCUUGAGCUUAGUUGCCAUCAUUAAGUUGGGCACUUUAAGUUGACUGCCGGUGACAAACCGGAGGAAGGUGGGGAUGACGUCAAAUCAUCAUGCCCCUUAUGAUUUGGGCUACACACGUGCUACAAUGGACAAUACAAAGGGCAGCGAAACCGCGAGGUCAAGCAAAUCCCAUAAAGUUGUUCUCAGUUCGGAUUGUAGUCUGCAACUCGACUACAUGAAGCUGGAAUCGCUAGUAAUCGUAGAUCAGCAUGCUACGGUGAAUACGUUCCCGGGUCUUGUACACACCGCCCGUCACACCACGAGAGUUUGUAACACCCGAAGCCGGUGGAGUAACCAUUAUGGAGCUAGCCU